rnacentral:SRP_RNA from 2 species
CCGUGCUAGGUGGGGAGGUAGCGGUGCCCUAUCACUUGCAAUCCGCUAUAGCAAGACUGAAUCCCCUUCUUAGGUAUGGCGACUUUAUGGUCUGUCUUAAGGAAUUAGUGUUGACGUAUAGAUCUCACGCAACAGGAACCCAUGAACCCUGUCAGGUCCGGAAGGAAGCAGCAGUAAGUGGUCAUUCUUGUGUGCCGUGGGGCAACCUAGACCGAGCUAUGCACUUAAGCAACGCAUAGGGACGUCAUAUCGAUGUUGGGUGCACGG